UGCGUAGGUGGCUUGGUAAGUCAGAGGUGAAAGACGGUCGCUCAACGAUUGCAGUGCCAUUGAUACUGGUAGACUUGAGUGUGAUUGAGGUAGCUGGAAUGGAUAGUGUAGCGGUGAAAUGCAUAGAUAUUAUCCAGAACACCGAUUGCGAAGGCAGGUUACUAAGUCAUAACUGACGCUGAGGCACGAAAGUGUGGGGAUCAAACAGGAUUAGAUACCCGCGUA
rnacentral:rRNA from 1 species